UACGGAGGUUGCAAGCGUUAAUCGGAAUUACUGGGCGUAAAGCGUGCGUAGGCGGUUUGUUUAGUCAGAUGUGAAAGCCCCGGGCUCAACCUGGGAACUGCAUUUGAUACUGGCAGACUAGAGUAUGGUAGAGGGGGGUAGAAUUCCUGGUGUAGCGGUGAAAUGCGUAGAUAUGAGGAGGAAUACCAGUGGCGAAGGCGGCACCCUGGACUGAUACUGACACUGAGGUGCGAAAGCGUGGGGAGCAAACAGG
rnacentral:rRNA from 1 species